GACGUAGGUGGCAAGCGUUGUCCGGAAUCAUUGGGCGUAAAGCGCGUGUAGGCGGCUCGGUAAGUCUGCUGUGAAAGUCCAGGGCUCAACCCUGGGAUGCCGGUGGAUACUGUCGAGCUCGAGUCCGGAAGAGGCGAGUGGAAUUCCUGGUGUAGCGGUGAAAUGGCGCAGAUAUCAGGAAGAACACCAAUGGCGAAGGCAGCUCUCUGGGACGGUACUGACGACUGAGACGCGAAAGCGUGGGGAGCCGAACGAAGG
rnacentral:rRNA from 1 species